rnacentral:rRNA from 1 species
GACGAACGCUGGCGGCGUGCUUAACACAUGCAAGUCGAGCGGUAAGGCCCUUCGGGGUACACGAGCGGCGAACGGGUGAGUAACACGUGGGUGACCUGCCUCUAGCUCUGGGAUAAGCCUGGGAAACUGGGUCUAAUACCGGAUAUGACUCCACGGCGCAUGUUGUGGGGUGGAAAGCCUUGUGUGGCUAGAGAUGGGCCCGCGGCCUAUCAGCUUGUUGGUGGGGUGAUGGCCUACCAAGGCGACGACGGGUAGCCGGCCUGAGAGGGCGACCGGCCACACUGGGACUGAGACACGGCCCAGACUCCUACGGGAGGCAGCAGUGGGGAAUCUUGCGCAAUGGCGAAAGCCUGACGCAGCGACGCCGCGUGAGGGAUGACGGCC